rnacentral:rRNA from 1 species
GACGAACGCUGGCGGCGUGCUUAACACAUGCGAGUCGAACGGAAAGGCCCUGCUUUUGUGGGGUGCUCGAGUGGCGAACGGGUGAGUAACACGUGAGUAACCUGCCCUUGACUUUGGGAUAACUUCAGGAAACUGGGGCUAAUACCGGAUAGGAGCUCCUGCUGCAUGGUGGGGGUUGGAAAGUUUCGGCGGUUGGGGAUGGACUCGCGGCUUAUCAGCUUGUUGGUGGGGUAGUGGCUUACCAAGGCUUUGACGGGUAGCCGGCCUGAGAGGGUGACCGGCCACAUUGGGACCGAGAUACGGCCCAGACUCCUACGGGAGGCAGCAGUGGGGAAUAUUGCACAAUGGGCGGAAGCCUGAUGCAGCAACGCCGCGUGCGGGAUGACGGCCUUCGGGUUGUAAACCGCUUUCGCCUGUGACGAAGCGUGAGUGACGGUAAUGGGUAAAGAAGCACCGGCUAACUACGUG